UAGUCCACGCUGUAAACGAUGAGAACUAGAUGUCGGGAGGGUUGCCUUUCGGUGUCGCAGUUAACGCGUUAAGUUCUCCGCCUGGGGAGUACGCCGGCAACGGUAAAACUCAAAGGAAUUGACGGGGACCCGCACAAGCGGUGGAGCAUGUGGUUUAAUUCGAUGCAACGCGAAGAACCUUACCUGCCCUUGACAUACUCGGAACUUUCCAGAGAUGGAUUGGUGCCUUCGGGGAACCGAGAUACAGGUGCUGCAUGGCUGUCGUCAGCUCGUGUCGUGAGAUGUUGGGUUAAGUCCCGCAACGAGCGCAACCCUUAUCCUUAGUUGCCAGCGAUUCGGUCGGGAACUCUAGGGAGACUGCCGGUGACAAACCGGNGGAAGGUGGGGACGACGUCAAGUCAUCAUGGCCCUUAGUGGGGCAGGGGCUACACACGUGCUACAAUGGGCGAGUACAGAGGGGCUGCCAGCUAGCAAUAGUCAGCCAAU
rnacentral:rRNA from 1 species